rnacentral:rRNA from 1 species
UACGUAGGGACCGAGCGUUGUCCGGAAUCAUUGGGCGUAAAGGGCUCGUAGGCGGUCUGUUGCGUCGGGAGUGAAAACUUACAGCUUAACUGUGAGCGUGCUUCCGAUACGGGCAGACUUGAGGUAUUCAGGGGAGAACGGAAUUCCUGGUGUAGCGGUGAAAUGCGCAGAUAUCAGGAGGAACACCGGUGGCGAAGGCGGUUCUCUGGGAAUAUCCUGACGCUGAGGAGCGAAAGUGUGGGGAGCGAACAGG